rnacentral:rRNA from 1 species
ACCCAAUAGAUACCCCGGUAGUCCCAGCUGUAAACGAUGCAGACUCGGCGAUGAAUUGGCUUAUUGCUAAAUUCAGUGCCGCAGGGAAGCCGUUAAGUUUGCCGCCUGGGGAGUACGGUCGCAAGCUGAAACUUAAAGGAAUUGGCGGGGGAGCACCACAAGGGGUGAAGCCUGCGGUUCAAUUGGAGUCAACGCCGGAAAUCUUACCGGGGGCGACAGCAGAGCGAAGGUCAAGCUGAAGACUUUACCAGACAAGCUGAGAGGAGGUGCAUGGCCGUCGCCAGCUCGUGCCGUGAGGUGUCCUGUUAAGUCAGGUAACGAGCGAGAUCCCUGCCUCUAGUUGCUACCAUUAUUCUCAGGAGUAGUGGAGCUAAUUAGAGGGACCGCCGUCGCUGAGACGGAGGAAGGUGGGGGCUACGGCAGGUCAGUAUGCCCCGAAACCCUCGGGCCACACGCGGGCUGCAAUGGUAAGGACAAUGAGUUUCGAUUCCGAAAGGAGGAGGCAAUCUCUAAACCUUACCACAGUUAUGAUUGA